GUUGUAUGGUUAAGUGACUAAGCGUACACGGUGGAUGCCUAGGCAGUCAGAGGCGAUGAAGGACGUACUAACUUGCGAUAAGCGCAGAUAAGGCAGUAAGAGCCGUUUGAGUCUGCGAUUUCCGAAUGGGGAAACCCAACUGCAUAAGCAGUUACUGUUAACUGAAUACAUAGGUUAACAGAGCAAACCGGGGGAACUGAAACAUCUAAGUACCCCGAGGAGAAGAAAUCAACCGAGAUUCCGGUAGUAGCGGCGAGCGAACCUGGAUUAGCCCUUAAGCACUCGUUGAAGUAGGUGAACAAGCUGGAAAGCUUGGCGAUACAGGGUGAUAGCCCCGUAACCGACGCUUCAUCGAGCGUGAAAUCGAGUAGGGCGGGACACGUGAUAUCCUGUCUGAAUAUGGGGGGACCAUCCUCCAAGGCUAAAUACUCCUGACUGACCGAUAGUGAACCAGUACCGUGAGGGAAAGGCGAAAAGAACCCCUGUGAGGGGAGUGAAAUAGAACCUGAAACCGUGUACGUACAAGCAGUAGGAGCACCUUCGUGGUGUGACUGCGUACCUUUUGUAUAAUGGGUCAGCGACUUAUAUUCAGUGGCAAGGUUAACCGUAUAGGGGAGCCGUAGCGAAAGCGAGUCUUAACUGGGCGCUCAGUCUCUGGAUAUAGACCCGAAACCGGGUGAUCUAGCCAUGGGCAGGUUGAAGGUUGAGUAACAUCAACUGGAGGACCGAACCGACUAAUGUUGAAAAAUUAGCGGAUGACUUGUGGCUAGGGGUGAAAGGCCAAUCAAACUCGGAGAUAGCUGGUUCUCCCCGAAAGCUAUUUAGGUAGCGCCUCGGACGAAUACUACUGGGGGUAGAGCACUGUUAAGGCUAGGGGGUCAUCCCGACUUACCAACCCUUUGCAAACUCCGAAUACCAGUAAGUACUAUCCGGGAGACACACGGCGGGUGCUAACGUCCGUCGUGGAGAGGGAAACAACCCAGACCGCCAGCUAAGGUCCCAAAGUAUUGCUAAGUGGGAAACGAUGUGGGAAGGCUCAGACAGCUAGGAUGUUGGCUUAGAAGCAGCCAUCAUUUAAAGAAAGCGUAAUAGCUCACUAGUCGAGUCGGCCUGCGCGGAAGAUGUAACGGGGCUAAGCAAUACACCGAAGCUGCGGCAAUGCCUUUUAGGUAUUGGGUAGGGGAGCGUUCUGUAAGCCGUUGAAGGUGGUCUGUAAGGGCUGCUGGAGGUAUCAGAAGUGCGAAUGCUGACAUGAGUAACGACAAAGGGGGUGAAAAACCUCCUCGCCGGAAGACCAAGGGUUCCUGUCCAACGUUAAUCGGGGCAGGGUGAGUCGACCCCUAAGGUGAGGCCGAAAGGCGUAAUCGAUGGGAAACGGGUUAAUAUUCCCGUACUUCUGACUAUUGCGAUGGGGGGACGGAGAAGGCUAGGUGGGCCAGGCGACGGUUGUCCUGGUUCAAGU
rnacentral:rRNA from 1 species